rnacentral:rRNA from 1 species
AACGAACGCUGGCGGCAGGCCUAACACAUGCAAGUCGAACGAAGUCUUCGGACUUAGUGGCGGACGGGUUAGUAACGCGUGGGAACGUGCCCUUUACUUCGGAAUAGUCCCGGGAAACUGGGUUUAAUACCGAAUACGCCCUUUGGGGGAAAGAUUUAUCGCCUUUGGAUUAGCCCGCGUUAGAUUAGGUAGUUGGUGGGGUAAUGGCCUACCAAGCCUACGAUCUAUAGCUGGUUUUAGAGGAUGAUCAGCAACACUGGGACUGAGACACGGCCCAGACUCCUACGGGAGGCAGCAGUGGGGAAUCUUGGACAAUGGGCGCAAGCCUGAUCCAGCCAUGCCGCGUGAGUGAUGAAGGCCUUAGGGUCGUAAAGCUCUUUCGCCAGGGAUGAUAAUGACAGUACCUGGUAAAGAACCCCGGCUAACUCCGUGCCCAGCAGCCGCGGUAA